UAACCCUGUUAUUGAUGGGUUUUGUAAGUGUGGAAAUGUCGACAAGGCAAAUGUGAUUCUUAGAGAAAUGGAGGAGAAAAAAUGUAAACCUGAUAAACUGACUUUCACCAUUCUUAUACUUGGAC
rnacentral:pre_miRNA from 1 species